UACGUAGGGUGCGAGCGUUGUCCGGAAUUAUUGGGCGUAAAGAGCGCGCAGGCGGAAUGUCAAGUCAGAUGUGAAAUAUCCCGGCUUAACCGGGAGGGGUCAUUUGAAACUGGCAAACUAGAGUACAGCAGAGGAUAGCGGAAUUCCCGGUGUAGUGGUGAAAUGCGUAGAUAUCGGGAGGAACACCAGUGGCGAAGGCGGCUAUCUGGGCUGAAACUGACGCUGAGGCGCGAAGGCUAGGGGAGCAAACAGG
rnacentral:rRNA from 1 species